rnacentral:rRNA from 1 species
AUUUAAAUAUAGAUUAAAAGCUUUUUAGUUUAAAGAAAAAUUUUUAUUUGUGGUAUAAAGGAUUGCAAAGCUAUAAUUAUUAUUUGUUUAUUUUUUAGUAUUGCAUACUAUUAUAGGAAAAUGGUGUAGACACAAUAAAUAAAAAUAAAAAGUAGAAUUUUUUUUAUUUUUAUUGUUACAUAAUAAAGAUUAAAAAAAUUAGGGUUGAAAAGUCGUUUUUUAUAAUAUUUGUUUUAUUAAUUUUAUUAGAAAAUUAUAUAGUUAUUUUUAAUACGUGUAAGUUUAAAAGUUAUAGUAUUUUUAUUAUUAGUUUUAUAACUGUUUAUUUUUUUUGUUGUUUUGCAUUGUUUAAUAAUUAUUAAUUUUUUAAUAAUUUUAUAGUUUAUAAAUUAGUAAAUAUAGGUUUAAUUAAUAUAAAUAGCUAAAAUAUAAUUAGAGAAAUUGAAUUUUAAUCAAAUGUUUUUUAAAGACUUAGACUUUAUUUUAAAGUUUGCUUCUGCCCAGUGAUAUAUUAAAUGGCAGUCUUAGCGUGAGGACAUUAAGGUAGCAAAAUAAUUUGUGCUUUUAUUGAGUUCCAGUAUGAAUGAAGUUAUUGGUUAAUUAUUUUCUAAUUUAAUUUUGAAUUUAUAUUUUUAUAAAAAAAUUAAGUUAUAGUUACACAAAGAUAAGUCUUCGGAAAUUCUUUUAAGGUAAAUAUUUUAUGUUUACUAUUAAAUUUUCUAGGGCAGAAUUUUAUAUAAUUAGUUUGUCUAUUAAUAAUGUGAUGAAUUACUCCGGAGUUAACAGAAAAUCAUAUCUAAUCCAGUUCUUAUGGUAAGGUAAGUUUUACAUCGAUGUUGUAUUUAAGUAAUUUGGAGGAGGAGAAAAUCUA